rnacentral:rRNA from 1 species
UACGAAGGGGGCUAGCGUUGCUCGGAAUCACUGGGCGUAAAGCGCACGUAGGCGGGUUCUUAAGUCGGAGGUGAAAUCCUGGAGCUCAACUCCAGAACUGCCUUCGAUACUGAGAAUCUCGAGUUCGGGAGAGGUGAGUGGAACUGCGAGUGUAGAGGUGAAAUUCGUAGAUAUUCGCAAGAACACCAGUGGCGAAGGCGGCUCACUGGCCCGAUACUGACGCUGAGGUGCGAAAGCGUGGGGAGCAAACAGG